rnacentral:rRNA from 1 species
AUUGAACACUGGCGGCAUGCCUUACACAUGCAAGUCGAACGGCAGCACGGGUGCUUGCACCUGGUGGCGAGUGGCGAACGGGUGAGUAAUGCAUCGGAACGUACCCGGAAGUGGGGGAUAACGUAGCGAAAGUUACGCUAAUACCGCAUAUUCUGUGAGCAGGAAAGAGGGGGAUCGCAAGACCUCUCGCUUUCGGAGCGGCCGAUGUCGGAUUAGCUAGUUGGCGGGGUAAAGGCCCACCAAGGCGACGAUCCGUAGCGGGUCUGAGAGGAUGAUCCGCCAAGCUGGGACUGGGACACGGCCCAGACUCCUACGGGAGGCAGCAGUGGGGAAUUUUGGACAAUGGGCGCAAGCCUGAUCCAGCCAUGCCGCGUGAGUGAAGAAGGCCUUCGGGUUGUAAAGCUCUUUUGUCAGGGAGGAAAUGCUCUGGGCUAAUACCCUGGGGUGAUGACGGUACCUGAAGAAUAAGCACCGGCUAACUACGUGCCAGCAGCCGCAGUAACAC